rnacentral:rRNA from 1 species
AGGAUGAACGCUGGCGGCGUGCUUAACACAUGCAAGUCGAACGAUGAAGCAGAGCUUGCUCUGUGGAUUAGUGGCGAACGGGUGAGUAACACGUGAGUAACCUGCCCUUGACUCUGGAAUAAGCGUUGGAAACGACGUCUAAUACCGGAUACGAGCUUCCGCCGCAUGGUGAGGAGCUGGAAAGAAUUUCGGUCAAAGGAUGGACUCGCGGCCUAUCAGGUGUUGGUGAGGUAAUGGCUCACCAAGCCUACGACGGUAGCCGGCCUGAGAGGGCGACCGGCCACACUGGAACUGAGACACGGUCCAGCUCCUACGGGAGCAGCAGUGGGAAUAUUGCACGAAUGGGCGACAAGCCUGAUGCAGCAAACCGCCGACGUGGAA